UGCUAUGAGUAAGAACAUGUAUGAGACUAUUAUGGAGUUGCACCAUUCGCCUCCAUUAAGGUAUGUAGCUAUAACUCUUAAAUUACCUUUUUCACACAAAACUUUUUCCUUCUAUCGUGCAGGCACCUAAGCUUGAGUUGAAGCCUUUGUCUGAUCACUUAAAGUAUUAUAUUUGAGUGAGGAUGAGACACUACCUAUUAUCAUAUCUAAGAAGCUUACCUUAAAUAAGGAGCAAA
rnacentral:misc_RNA from 1 species